rnacentral:rRNA from 1 species
UACGAAGGGGGCUAGCGUUACUCGGAUUGACUGGGCGUAAAGGGCGCGUAGGCGGUUCGUACAGUCAGACGUGAAAUUCCUGGGCUCAACCUGGGGGCUGCGUUUGAUACGUGCGGGCUUGAGUUCAGAAGAGGGUCGUGGAAUUCCCAGUGUAGAGGUGAAAUUCGUAGAUAUUGGGAAGAACACCGGUGGCGAAGGCGGCGACCUGGUCCGAUACUGACGCUGAGGCGCGAAAGCGUGGGGAGCAAACAGG